AUGCAAGUCGAACGGCAGCACGGGAGCAAUCCUGGUGGCGAGUGGCGAACGGGUGAGUAAUAUAUCGGAACGUGCCCAGUCGUGGGGGAUAACGUAGCGAAAGCUACGCUAAUACCGCAUACGAUCUAUGGAUGAAAGCGGGGGAUCGCAAGACCUCGCGCGAUUGGAGCGGCCGAUAUCAGAUUAGGUAGUUGGUGAGGUAAAGGCUCACCAAGCCGACGAUCUGUAGCUGGUCUGAGAGGACGACCAGCCACACUGGGACUGAGACACGGCCCAGACUCCUACGGGAGGCAGCAGUGGGGAAUUUUGGACAAUGGGCGCAAGCCUGAUCCAGCAAUGCCGCGUGCAGGAUGAAGGCCUUCGGGUUGUAAACUGCUUUUGUACGGAGCGAAAAGGCUUCCACUAAUACUGGGGGCUCACGACGGUACCGUAAGAAUAAGCACCGGCUAACUACGUGCCAGCAGCCGCGGUAAUACGUAGGGUGCAAGCGUUAAUCGGAAUUACUGGGCGUAAAGCGUGCGCAGGCGGUUAUGUAAGACAGAUGUGAAAUCCCCGGGCUUAACCUGGGAACUGCAUUUGUGACUGCAUAGCUAGAGUA
rnacentral:rRNA from 1 species